GUUCAGUGCAUCGUGGGUUUCAAUUUUCCUUUUAAAAGCAACGCCUAGAUAAAUUGAGGUCCAGCGGAGACCUACAUCAAAACUCUGCAGAGUAGAGGCGUUGAGGUCCAGGAGUCCAGGUCUCUUCAGGAAGGUGGGUGCUGGGAGGUGGCUCCAGAGAAGAGCUCCAGUCAUUCAAACAGAAACCUCCAGCCCCGACCUUGCUCUGCAGUGAGCACAUGACCAGUGACCACCCCGAGGGACUAGGGGUCUGCUUGGCCCCCAAGCUGGCUCAGAACUCAGGACAUUCCAAACCAACUGCCACUUAACGGCUGUGCCAGGAAUAAACUUUCCUUCAACUGACCAACUCUGCACGGGCAGCUAACGGAAGUUAACUGAAAAUGUGCCGUCGGGGCUGGUGCAUCAGUGGUUUGAUGAAUUAAAUCUAGGACCCAUCCAUCUUGCUGACGGCUGACCUGAGCAGCUACCUGAGCAGGCUGCACCGAGGCCUGCCUGAGAGUGCGCAGCACCUCAAUGAAGUCCACUGAAUGACUGGAAGCCACACCGACGAGC
ensembl:lincRNA